UCUUGAUUAGUUAGCAUGUCAUUAUCUUCCUCCCCACAAUCCCGAGAAUUAUAAGUAGCGUUAAUUGGGUUUCUAUAUUCGUACUCCACUACUAAACUUUCGUACAUGUAGUUCCACCUAGUCGGGCAAGGUUUAGGUACCUUUCUUUCUCUAAGGCCAUAUUCGUCACAUUUUUUAAAGUUUGAGAGGUUAAAUGGCCAUUUUUGAAAAUUCCAAACGGCUAACUUUGAAAAAGAGCCGUUUGAAAUUUUUAAAAAAAAUUUUUUUUUUUUAAAAUCCGGACCGUUGGGAACCGGUUGGAACCGUUUGGAACCGGAUGGAACCGCCUGAACCGGUCCGGUUCCAUUCGGGUCCAAACGGGUCCAAACGGUUCCAAACGGUUCCGAAACGGUCCGAAUUUAAUUUAAUUUUUUUUUUAAAAUUUCAAACGUUGCGGAACCGUUUGGAACCGGUUGGAACCGCCUGAACCGGUCCGGUUCCGGUUCCAAACCGGGCCACUUCCAGCCUUAAUUCAUGGACUACAAUUAGCAUAGAUGACCCAACUCCCAAGGGGAAGUCCCCCACACUGGAUUAGGCAAGAUACUUACCCAAAAGAGGACAACCUGAUGCUCUAAAAUGCACUUCUUGUGUGACAAGACCUCCGGACGGCUCAAAUCUAACCAAAUUAACUUCAAAGCACAAAUAAAACACAUAAGAAACUAUUCUGGACCACAAAGUCUCAAUGAUUAAUAAAAUCUAAAAAUCUGUCCAAAAGGCAACCCAGGGCACGCGUCUCGGGACCCGACAAAUUUUACAAAAAUCGAAUAGCCAUCCUAACAUGAGUUCAUUAAAAAUUUACUAUAUUCCGAUACCAUUUCGCCCCUCAAAUGAUCAUUUUUCAUUUUAGGAAUUUUCUUCAAAAACCGACAUUUUGCUCAACACAAAAGUCAUAAAUUAAGUGAUAAAAAUGAAGAAAAAUUCAUGGAAUAUAGUCAGUUCUAGGUAAAGAACACUUACCCAAUCGUAUUGCUUGAAAAUCCCACAAGGAAUCGCCCAAAACCGAACUCUAGAACUCCGAAAAUGGCAAAAAUAGCAAAUCCUCGAAAUAGAGUACAAUUUUUUUCUGCCCAGGUCCUAAAGCAUCACGAACGCAUAGGAAGUAUCGCGUUCUCUAAAAAGAAAAAAGGAAGGUGCCUAUACUCAUCGUGAACCUGACAAUAUCCGCGAAUGCGAAGAAGAAAAGUAUUAUGGCCAAGAGACUGUUCUUCACAAACGCGUGAACUAGUACGUGAACACGAAGAUUGGAACAUCAUAACAACAUUAACACGAGAGGGGAACGCGAACGCGAUGAAAGAGAAGGAUGAGCUUCGCGAAGAAAAGGUGUUAAACACAAAAGCGAAGAAUGAUUUCCAUGUCGUCAGCAACAAAGCUUUGUGAACGCGAAAGGCGAUUCGUGAUGGAGAAAGAGGAUAUCUGAAGCAUAAAACAACAAUUUUAAAAGAAAGGAAAAUGACCUGUAGCCCACCCAAAACACACCCAUGGCCCCGAGACCCCCUCCGAAUGCACAAACAAGUCAUAUAACUUAUCAUAGACACUCUCGAUGUCAAAAUCACAUUAAAUAAUGCAGAAAUGAUGAAUCACACCAAGAAUCGAACUUAGGAACUAUGAAACCUUCCAACUUCUAGAACUCGUGCCAAAACCUAUUAAAUCAACCCGGAAUGAUGCAAAAUUUUGCACACAAGUCAAAAACGACAUAACAGAGCUUUUCCAACUCUCGGAAUUGCAUUUCGACUCCGGUAUCACAAAAGUCAACUAUGAGUCAAACCUCUCUAUUUUCCAAACAUCAACUUCUCCAACUUUCGCUGAAGCACCUCGAGUUACCCUACGGGCCUCCAAAUCCAAAUUUGGACGUGUACCUAAAUUCAAAAUCACCAUACAAAGCUUUUGAGAUCACCCACGACCCAUUCCGUGGCCAUUUAUUAAAAGUCCAAUCUCGGUCAAAUUCUCACCGUUUAAACAUCUAAAACUACUUUCCUUCUUCCAAUUUAACUGUGAAUCAUUUGUUAACUAAAUUCAACCAUGCAGACAAGUCGAUUAACAUAUUAUGAAACUGAUCAACACCUCAAAGUGAUUAACAGGCGCAAUUGCAUAAAACGACCAGUUGAGUCGUUACAUCCUCCUCUACUUAAACAUACGUUCGUCCUCGAACAUGCUCAGAGCCAUUCCAAAGUCAUCGAACCGCUACAUGAGUUCACAAUAUAUACACCCGGGAGUGAUCCCCUAUCACACAACAUAAGCAGAACUAAAGAUCAUCUCGUCAAUUAAGAAUAUAUUCAAAUAAAGAAGGCAAUUCCAACUCAAUCAAUCAAAUCAUGUCUAAUACACAGCCCCGACCAUCUCAGUCCUCUGUUUCUCAUACCAUAAUGUCAACUUCCGAACCUUCAGCACACAUGGCACCUUAUGCCCCCAUAUUUUCCAUCUCACUUUUAACAACAAAAUUCACAUGUUAUACAAUACAUAAUGUACGUGCAAAAUCACUCAAAAUGUUCAAGAAGUAUCAUUUACCAAAUAUAAAUAAAUUACAAUUCCUAAACUAAUUAGUAAAGCCAGCGAGAAAAGAUGAAGUUGUUUCUUUUGAAACCAUUUGAAUAAAGAAAGUAUCCCAUUCAAUUGAAUUUCAAUUUAAAUACAAUAUCAAAUAGAUUAUUACCUAUUACAUGGGAGUUAAUAACAUAAAACUUAAUAUAAAUUUCUUCUUAAGUAAAAUACAACCUCAAAAUAUUUAAGGGAUAUAAUUGAGAAACAAACUGAAUUAAAGAUGUAACAACUAUUAAAGCUUGAAGUAUUGGAAUGUAUUAUUUGUGUGUAUGUAUAUAUAUAUAUAUAUAUACACACAAAUAAUACAUUCCAAUACUUCAAGCUUUAAUAGUUGUUACAUCUUUAAUUCAGUUUGUUUCUCAAUUAUAUCCCUUAAAUAUUUUGAGGUUGUAUUUUACUUAAGAAGAAAUUUAUAUUAAGUUUUAUGUUAUUAACUCCCAUGUAAUAGGUAAUAAUCUAUUUGAUAUUGUAUUUAAAUUGAAAUUCAAUUGAAUGGGAUACUUUCUUUAUUCAAAUGGUUUCAAAAGAAACAACUUCAUCUUUUCUCGCUGGCUUUACUAAUUAGUUUAGGAAUUGUAAUUUAUUUAUAUUUGGUAAAUGAUACUUCUUGAACAUUUUGAGUGAUUUUGCACGUACAUUAUGUAUUGUAUAACAUGUGAAUUUUGUUGUUAAAAGUGAGAUGGAAAAUAUGGGGGCAUAAGGUGCCAUGUGUGCUGAAGGUUCGGAAGUUGACAUUAUGGUAAAUUUAAACAGUUAGAACACUUGAGUUGAUAACAACAAAUAUAUAUAGCAACAGAAAGUGCACGGCAUCGCCCUUCGUUCUUAACCUCUCAAUCCUCACCAUGUAAUCAAUAUUCACUUCUGUUGUUUCUUGUUGCAGCGUGAAGCCUGAUCCCAAUCAGAUAAUACUGUUACGCCGUACAACCUGAUCCUAAUCAUAAAAUAUUGUUACAAGCGUGCAACCCGAUCUCAUUUAUAUAAUACUGUUGAGGCAUGAAAUCAGAUCCCAAUCAUAUAAUGAUAUUGCAGCAUGCGAUCCGACCACAUUUGUGAACCCUUAUUACUCCUUGUUGCGGCAUGUAACCCUAUCCCAUAUAAAAUUAUUACGACGUGCAACAAGAUCCCAAAAACGAAACAAUAGUAUAACAACAAUAUCUUGGUAAAGGAAAAAAUAUCAUAUGCAAUAACAUCGCAGUAAGGAAAUCAACAAGUACAUAGUGAGAGUCACGGAAAAACUCACUGAAAAAUCAAGAAGCACGAUAGCCGCAACAAAACAACAAGACAAAAUAAGCACAUGAUAACUACACUGAUAAUCACAACCAUUAGACAUGUAACAUAUUUGCACGAAGUCAUAGAGGAACCCACAAUCAAGAAGUACCAAACUAAUAAGGAAGAAAAUCACUUCAAUUAAGAUAAUUAAGGGUGAAUAUAAUACGUAAUAAUUAGAGGAAAGCGUUUAACAUCAUAUGGAGCAUAUAGAGGCAAUUUAAGCAAUUAUUAAACCCAAUCAUAACGAGAUACUUUUGACAUAAUGAACAUAAGGUCCUAAGAACUUAGAGAAAAUUUCCCACAAAUAAGUCUGAGCACACCUCGGUCACCUCAUAUGCAUGGACUACAAUUAGCAUAGAAGACACAAAUCCUAAGUGGAAGUCCACCACACAAUAUUAAGAAAGAUACUUACCUUAAAGACGACAACCCAAUACUCUAAAAUGCACUUUGAAUGUGAAAAGACCUUCGGACAACUCAAAUAUAACCAAAUUAACUUCAAAGCACAAAUAAAACACUUAAGAAACUAUUCCGAACCAUGAAGUCUCAAUCUUUAAUAAAAUCAUAAAAAUCGAUCCAAAAGUCAACCCCCGGGCCCGCGCCUCAGAACCCAACAAAUUUUACAAAAACAAAAUACCCUUCCCAAUAUGAGUUCAACCAUACAAUAUUUAUUAAAUUAUGAUACUAUUUGGCCCCUCAAAUCAUGAUUUUUCUUUUUAGGAAUUUUCUUCAAAAACCAAAAUUUUCCUCAAUCCAAAUCACAGAUGAAAUGAUUGAAAUUAUAUCAAAUUCAUUAAAUAUAAUCAAUUCUAGGUGAAUAACACUUCUCCAUUCAUUUUGCUUGAAAAACCCACUUGGAAUCGCCCAAAACCGAUCUCUAGAACUCCAAAAAUGAUGAAAAUAGCAAAUCCUCGGAAUAGAGUACUAUUUAUUAUGCCCAUGUCCUAAAGCAUCACGAACUGCCUUUUGUGUUCGUGAAAGAGGAUAUCAGAAGCAGAAAAUAGCAGUUCAAAAAUAGGGAAAAUAACCCGUAGCCCACCCGAACACAUCGGAGACUCCUGGGAUCCCGUCCAAAAAGACAAACAAGCCAUAUAACCUACAGGACUGGCUCGAGGUCACAAAUCACAUCAAACAAUUUUGAAAUGAUGAAACACACCGAGAAUCAAACUUAGGAAAUUUCAAACCUUCCAACUUUUAAAACUCGUGCCAAAACCAAUCAAAUCAACAUGGAAUGAUGCCAAAUUUUGCAGACAAAUCCAAAACAAUAUAACGGAGCUGUUUCAACUCUCAGGUAUACAUCCUGAGCCCAAUAUCUCAUAAGUAAACUAUGAGUCAAACCUCUCCCUUUUCUGAACUUCAACUUCUUCAAUAUUCGCCGAAACGCCUCAAAUUACCUUAAGGACCUCCAAAUCCCAUUUCGGGCAUAUGCCUACGUCCAAAAUCAUCAUGUGAAGAUGUUCAGAACACCCACGACCCAUUACAAGGCCGUUACUUAAAAGCCUAAUCCUAGUCAAAUUCUCAUCGUUUAAACUUCCAGAACUAAUUUUCUUCUUCUAAUUCGACUCUGAAUCAUCCUUUAAUUGAAUUCAACAAUGUAGGCAAGUCAAUACACAUAUUAUAAAGUUGUUCAAGAUCUGAAAGUGCUGAAUCGAGUACAAUUUCUCACAACAACCACUUGGGUCGUUCCUAUAUGAAGUAAUAGGUCUCAACCAAGAAUGCGAUUAUGCAUGCACUGUCAAAGGAAUAAUUUAUUCUUUUUAGGUCAACGGAGGUCUAAAAUCCAUUUAAAAGAAGAGCUAGUUGGAUUAGUAGGGGAUAAAAGGUAGUAAAAGUUUUAUUAAUGAAUAAACUACUUGAGUUUAUGCUUGAACUGAUUUUCUCAGUUUUAGUAGUGAAUAAAUAAUUUGAGUUUAUGCUCCUAAUGAUUUUAUCAAUUUUUGGGCCUUUAUUGGAGAUAAGAGUUAAAACAAUAUUAUUAAUAAUUUUAGUGGAUAAAUCAAAGGAUAUAACAUCGAUAUUCCACUCCUCAUUCUUGAUAAGGUCCUUUAUUGAAAGAUUUUGAUUUUUUUUUGCUAAGAGAACAUUCUAUAUAAUUACAAAGAGAGUUAUAAUUGUAAAUCCAUUUAAAGUGACAAAUAUUAAUCUUUGAGUUUGUACAGUGAAGCCAAAGAAUUCCAACAUUGCAUACUUUCCACCCCUUAAGGAGAAAAUUUCCAUAUGAAAGAGGUGGAAGCCAUCGAUUUAUUCUUUGCAAACUUAGUCAUAAUUAGCUGAGCCCAUAGAUUUUUAUGGUUUCUUAAUAGUCUUCUAGAAAGACUAGUUAGCAAAAUAAUAUUUUUGGUUUUUUCAGAACUAAUACUAAGUCCACCCUUAUUUUUGUCUCUUGUAACCAUGUUGCAGUUAAUGAGAUGGAGUUUUUUUUCAAGCUAGUGGAUCCCCAAAUAAAAUCCCUUAGAAUUUUAUUUAUCUGUUUUAGGAUUUUAGAUGGGAGUAAAGUGUAUUGCAUCGAAUGAGUAGGAAUGACACUUAAUAUACUAGUGGGCAAAGUAACCCUUCCAUCAAUUUUUAGGAAGGAGCAUUUCCAAUUAGACAAUUUAGUGUGCAAUUUAUCUAGAACAAAUUGGAAGUCUUAGUAUAUGGAGAGUGAUUUAGGAUUGGAAAGCCAAGAUAUUUUUCAAAUUCGUAAGUGAAUUUUAUGCCAAAAAGGUGUUUUGAGAUGUAAGAUGUUAUCCUUAGGCCAAUUUUAAGGGAAGAUAAUUCUAGAUUUUAAAGUAUUGAUAGGUAGCCCAAAUUUAUUAUGAAAAAGACCCAUGCAAGAUUUUAUGCAUUGUCCCGUUUCUUUUUUGUUUUUCUAAUGAAAGCAAUGCCAUCCGCAAAUAGGAUAUGGGAGAAAAAGAGACCUUUUUGGCUUAUGUUAAUGGAAUUCUAUCUUAAGAUGCCUACUUGGUGAUCUAUGAGUCUAGAUAUGAGUAAUAGGUAAAGGCUGAACACAUAGGGGGAUAUAGGAUCCCUUUGGCAUUUACCCCGACUAGGAUUGAAGAAAUUAGUUCUAGAACCAUUAACGAGGAUCUCCGUAGAGCGUGUAUUAAUACAAUGCAUAAUUAGACGGGACAAGUUAGGGUGGAAUUUGAAGUCUCUAAGAGUCCUAUACAAAAGACCAUUCCAGUCUAUCAAAAGCCUUCUCCAAGUCUAAUUUAAUUAUCAUAUCAAUACAUGAGCUUUUUGAUAUACUGAGAUUAUUCAUAAUUUCUUGAAUAAAAUGGCGUUAUCACUGGCUCUUCUAUUAUUUAUAAAACUGGAUUGGAGAGGACUAAGAAGAUAGGGUAGGAAAAGUUUGAUCUUAUUAGCAUUAAUCUUAGUGAUAAUUUUCUAAGACGUGUUACAAAGAUCAAUAGGUCUAAAGUUCUUGAGAUUAUUAACAUUACAGAAUUUUGGUAUGAUACAUAUAAAAGUCUCAUUAAUACUACUUGGCAGGGAUUGAGCUUUAAAAAUCUUGUGACAAUAAUUAGUAAUAGAGACACCAAUUAUUUGCCAAUAUUUUUGAUAAAAGAAAUGAAUGUAUUCCAUUUGGACCAGGUGUUUUGAAUGGCUUAAAAUAGCCUUGGUAGUUUCCAUGUUAGAUAAGGUCUUAUUAAGGCUACUUAGGUCAAUAUUAUUAUGGCAUAAGGGAUCACUCAAGAUUGUAUUCUUGUGGGUGAUAGUAUUGGAUGUCUUAAAGGCCUGCAUAAUGAAAGAUAUAGUAUGCUCUAGGAUUUGAUUGGGAUCCGAAAUCCAGUACCUAUGUCAUUUGUGAAGUACAUAAUAACAUUACGAUGUUAACAGUUAGAAGUCAUAAUAUGACAAUAUUUGAUAUUUGUAUCUCCCUCGUUGAGCCAAAUGAUUCUGGAUCAAAGUUUUCAAAAAUCAUGCUCCAUUUAUAGAAUAUUAUUAUACUCAAGUUGUAAUAUAGAUUCUAAAUCUUGUAAGAAAAGACUAUUUUGGUAUGAAGAGGAAAACUAGAUACAACUUAGUCUAGCCACGAUCCUCUUCUCUUUUUAAUGUAUCAUUUAUUCACUUAAUAACCACAUCCUUAAAAGGGUUUUGCACUGUAAUAAUAUCUUUAUCAUACCAACAUUGCUUAAUGAUGUUACUAAAAUUACGGUGUCUACACCAAAUCAUUUCCAAUCUAAAAGGUUUACUACUAUGAUUCAUAUUUUUUUGGAGUAAGGUUGAUUAGCAAGGGAUUAUGAUCGGAAUGUUUUUUAGGGAAGUGAAUAACCACUACUUUAGGAAAUAAGGAUAACCAUUCCUUAUUAACGAAAGUUCUAUCAAUUCUUACCAUAAUUAAAUCUCUAGAUAUUUAUAUAUGGUUUGACCAGGUAUAUUUGCAGCCCUUAUAACCUAAAUCUAUUAAAUUACAGUUAUUAAUGCUAUUCCAUAACAUAUUGCUACUCCUUUGGUUAAAGGGAUUUUCACCAAUAACUAAGGGCCCUUAUAACUAUUAUGAACAUUUUCUAUAUUUAUUCCAUAAGUCACAUCUUUUAUCAAGCUUAAUGCUCAUUGAGAGGGAAGUACCUCAACGGUACCAUGUAUUUUCUGAUUUCUUCUAAUGAAGUCGUGAACCUUCACAUCACUGGAAUCCCAUAGGAUAACCGUACCUCCAGAGUUCCAUUCAGAAAGAGCCUCAAUAAUUUUCAAAGAAGCAAAAUCACUUAGACGAGAGAUGUUAUUUUCCAUCGUAAUUUUCAGAAGAGUCAUAAUGCAUAGCUUUUGAGUAUCAACCAUUUCCCCAAAAUUUAUGAUCACGUUAUCAUUAUUACCUCCACAAAUAUUUUAUACAAUAAUGUUAGUUGGUCGAUACAUCAUUGCAUGGUAGUUGGUUGGACCAUACGUCAUCUAUGCUUGUAGCACUGGGUUCCUCCUUAGUGAAGGGACCAAUAUCAUGGCAUGUUUCCCCACUGUUGAAUCUUGUGGAGGCCUUAUGUCCAUCGAGCAUUUGUUCAGCUAGUGGACAGCUGAGAGUAUACCUCUUCUCAUGCACUUCCCUGAAUAGAUAUACCUUUACAUUAUUUAGACUUCAAAAAUCCACUAUUUCCUCUAACCCUAGAAAAUUCAUCUCUUCUACAUUCAUUUCUUGGUGAUAUUCUAGUUCUGGAACAUUCAUAUGAUUUUUUGGAGGAGCCUGGUUUACUGGAGGAGUGGAAAAUGCUUGGUUCUAUGCUUGGCUUUGAGCUACACCUCCAUGGUAUGAAGAUUGGGUUUAUGAACGAGAUCUCUCCUUGCCACGACCCAAAAUGCACUAAGAGUCAUGAUGGUUCCGGAUACCAUUGCCAGGCAAGCCAACCAAAAUACUUAAUUCAAUUCUCAUUUUAAUAGUUUUGGAAACUAUAAUUUUACUUCAAUCUUAAUAAAAAAGGUAUUCAUUUCAAAUUAAAUAUAAAUAUUGCGGAUUUAAUACAAGAUACCCCAUAAUUUUUCCAGAACCCUGUGUCACAAGUGCAUGAGCAUUUACUAGGGAAUGAAAUAAAAUACAAUAACUUUUUGGAAUACAAAGUGGACAAAAAUGAAAAUAUAGUACGAUACUCUAAAGGAGAAUCUUCUGGCUGUAGGUCGUCUCAAUAAAUACAGUUCACCUAAGUCUCCAUAUCAACCAUGUCGCUAUGCCACAAAGCCAGUAGCCACACAUGAACCAGUGCAAUAAAAAUACACAGGAAGUGUAGUAUGAGUACGAAAAUUACGUGUACCCAAUGAGUAUUCCAUCUUAUCUCAGAAAAGUAGAGACGAGAGGUCGACUUUAAUACCUGCUAGUGGUCUAAUAAUAAUAUACUAAUAAUAUAGUAAAUCGUUAAUUUUCAUAAAGAUGGCUGUAACUCAAUAGCAUAAAACAAGUAAGAAAUUCUUUCAUUAAUAGGAGAUUUCCAAAUUUAUUUCUCUUCAUUUAUGCAUUUAUAUCAUGUAAAGGAGAGUAAAUAUCAACAUCUAUAAAUCCCAAGGCAAGCAAUACAAGCAUGCGCAAAUCAUGCCGAUGACGUGCGACCCGAUCCAAUAAUAUUUAAAUUGUGCACAGCCAGAGGGUCGAAUGACGCAAACCAUUGAUGUAUCUGUUUAAUCUACCUAGGCCUUCGGCCUGUUCUACAAUAGAUAAACACAUCGAAAGAGUCAAAUCAAUUAUUUAUCAAGGAGCAAAUAUUCAGGAAAAGGAAAGUUUCUCUUUUAAAAGUAAAAAACUGAUAUCUAUCUCUCUAGAAAUUCAUUUACACGUUCGAAAUGUUUUAAGCAUAUUUUAAGUUUGUCAACAAGGUGGAAAGGAUUACAAGUAAGCAUGCUUUUGGGCCCUGAACUACCCGGACAUAAGCAUAGUAGUAGCUAUAAACAGACUCUCAUCACUUUGUGCGUACGUAAAUAGGAGCACAUAACCAACUAAAUCACCCAUAGGGAUAAUUGACUCACCUCGGACCGAAGUUCAAUCACCGGCAUUGUAUGCCCUUCCGAAGACCCAAAUUGAUGCACAACGCUCCAAAACUAGCCAAUAAUUAUGUAAACCCAUUAAUAUAUGCUCAAUUACUCACUAUAAUCCAGUUUAUAAUAAUUCCUAAUCCCGAUCGAAAAGUUGACAGAAACGCCCUUCGGCCCACGUGCUUGGACUCUGAAUUCAUUAGAAGAUAAAGUUUACCGAUAAUAUCACGAAAGAAAUUAAAUAAUUUACUCUUAAUUUCAUGCCCAAAAUCAUGGUAAAAAUUCAAGAAUACCAAUUUUCUAGGUUUUCCCUCCUACCCCAAAUUUCUACCCAUUUUCAUGCUCAAAUCCAUAUAUAAUCCAAGUAUUUAACUCAAAACUACUAGAAACCACUUACCUUGAUAUGGAUGAUGAAGAUGGAUCUCUAAAAUAGCCCAAAGAUCGGCUUCCAUGAAGGAAGUGGGGUUCUGAGCCAAACUCCCGUUUUAAACAAACACACUGCCCAGCCUAACCACUCGCACCUGCGGUUAGGCAGUCGCACCCGCGCUAUCGCUUCUGCAGACUCUCCUUCUGCACCUACAGUCUUUGUAGCUUCUGCAGCUACUGGCAUCGCACUUGCACCACCGCAUGGCAGACAUCACUUUGCUUCUACGAACCCCACCGGCCUGGCUCCGUUACGUUUCUGCGAGUCAUCUCCCACACAUGCGAGCUCGCACCUGCGGCCCUAAUUACGCAAGUUCUGUUAUACCACAUGCUCAUCUUCUUUAGCUCUUCCUUAACUCCUUAUUCAAUCCGUUAACCAGCUGGAAUCUAGCCGAGGCCCCCGAGACCCCUUCCAAUCACACCAACUAGUACCAUAACAUAAUGCAGGCCUGCUAGAGGCCUCAAAUCAUAUUAUACAACACCAAAACCAUGAAUCACACACCAAUUCGAUCUUUAUGAACUUUAGAAUUUCAAACUUCUAUAUUUGAUACUGAAACCUAUCAAAUCACGUCCGAUUGACCUCAAAUUUAAACACAACUCACAAUUGACAUUGCAGACCUACUCCAACUUCCGGAAUUAGAAUCCCACCUUGAUAUAAAAAAGUCUACUUCCGGUCAAACUUCACAAAACCUUCAAAUUUCUAUCUUUAGCAAACUGACUUCAAAAUGACCUACGGACCUCCGAAUUCAAUUCUGAUCGUGCUCCCAGUACCAAAAUUACCAUACAAAACUAUUCCUAGACUCGGGACCUUAAACAGACAUUGGUAACACUGAAUGCACUUCAACCUAAACUUAUGAAAUUCUUCCAAAAAUGCUAACUUCUACAUUAUCUGCUAAAAUUUUUCCGGGUCUUCCAAAACCCAAUAUGGACAUACGCCUAAGUCUAAAAUCAUUUUACUAAUUAAAUCCUGAUUCCGAUGUCGUUUAAUCAAAAAUCUAAUAUAAGUCAAUUCUUUCAACUUAAAGCUUUCAAAAUAAGAAUUUUAUUUUCAAUUCAAUCCUGAACUUCUCCGAAAUUUAAUUCUAAACAUGCGUACAAGUCAUAAUAGUUGAAAUGAAGCUGCUCAUGAUCUUAAACUACGGAAUUACACACUAAAGCUUGAAUCGAUCGAUCGGGUCGUUACACCCUUGGUGGGAAGAAGGGAAGAUCCAUUAUUGUGUUUUGUGGUAGUAGAGGGUUCAAAUUAGAAGGCAGAUUCUAAUGGCUUCUCAUUGCAUAUUCUUGGCUUGCAUUCAUCAAGGGAGCUAGUGGGUGAAGAACACUGUUCAACCAAACAUGGUUUUGGUAGUCUCUUAGAGCCAUGGGCAUUCCCUCGGAUACUAGUUAGGCUAGGAAGUAUGAGUUUUGGAGAAUGAUUACUGUCUGCUGAUCAUCCAAGAACAUAUUGAAAGAUAUUUCUUGGACAUUAGAUCUUGCUUUAUUCGGGAUAAUAGUUGGUAGUCUUGAGGUAGGAGGGGGGAUUGGGUUAAGAAGAUGAUUUGAUUCUCUGCCUGACAGGUUGUGUUUGGUGUAAGAUUUGCCGUUGUGUGUUCUCUUUUGGUGUCGCUAUUUUUAGACAAGUCUGAAUCUUCUCCGUUGGAAAUUUUGUGAUCUUGGCAUUGUUAAUGCCCAAAUUUUGGUUUAUAGAGACAAUAUGUGCUUUGUUGAUAUAGUGGGUAGUGCUUUGAGAUGUAGGUUUAGAUAGAGUGGUAAUUAUUGAGUCUAUUUGCAUGAUUUUGUUGUUUGUGGGUAAGAGAUUUUAUCCGGAUUUGGGGUGUUCAUAGGGUUAGACACGUGUUUUACUUCAUUGACCAUUUGUGCGUCCAAUGGAAGGUUAUGGGACAUGUGUUGUGCGUCCAAAUCUUCAUCCAUGCAAGUAGUAAUAUUUUCUAGAAGGGUAUUACAUUAUUUACUUCAGUGGUUAAAACCACUGCCUCACAGUGAAGAUGGAAAUUAGUGUGGGAGUUAGAGUUAUUAAUUAUGUUAAUAUGAUCGUUAUGAGUGCAUGGGAUUUAAUCUUGCCUCAAUAGAGAAAGACACGUAGUUGUUGGUUAUCUUAACAGUUGUCACAUCUUUUUUUUGCAAUCCACUAGGUAUUGCCUAUGAUUAAUUUUUUUUUUUAUAAACAAGAAUAUAAAAAUUACAAUGAACAUAAUCUUGUUCAGAGAUUUUACAUAAUGAAAGUAAUAAAGUUUGACUGUUACAUUAAUCCUAUUACCAAGAUUAAGUAAAAUAUUCAAGUUUGGUAUCACAAAAUGAAUAUUGAAAUUAAACAAAUGAGUGCAAGUCUUGUAAUUGUAUGCUUGUUCAAUGCUUGCUCUAUCGUCCACGUGCAAUGGCACCUUUCCUUCCUCGAGGGAAUGAGCACAAUGUGCUAAUACCACCCAAAAAGUUCGUAGUUAGUGGCAAUGCAGUAGUACAUGGGCGCGUUGAUGCCAUAAAGAUACCCUUUCGUCCAUUUACCCGCCCUGCCAUUUGAGUUCCAGUUGUAUGGGUUGGUCUUGCAUCUUCCGGUUCAUUAUUGAUGUCUUAAUGGUCACCACAUUAAACAUCUCAUGCUUACUUACUGUUUGUUUCCAACUGCCCAUUUUUCCUUUUGCAUUGACUAAUAAUUCACUUGAACCUUUCAAUGUUGAGUCCCAAAGCCUCGUAAGGUUGAUUGUGAUGCACCAAAAGUGUUCCAAUUUUCCAAGCUGCAUUGGACUGUAUUGAAAAUACCAUCCCAUGGUAGAAUAGCAUGGACUAAGAUCUCGUACAUCGGAUAAAGCUACUCGUCGAGGGUCAGUUCUCAACGUCGACUUCCAAUUGUCCAGUUCUCUUUUUGCUUUAUGCAAUAAAGUUAUGGAAGAUCCUCCUAUUGUUGCAUCAUUAAGGGAAUUAAUAUUACUAUCUAAUAUCACCCUGAAAUGACACCUCAGAUAGGUCUUUAAUGAAACAGAUAAGUCCUCUGCAAAAAAGGAAACUAUGUUAGAUAAAAAUUUCAUUAUUUCCUCCUCACACGUUAAUGUUUGCUUGUUUUCUGCAGUUUCCAUUUGGUAAAGGCGUGUAACAACACAUGUCUUCAUGAAACCAUUAAAAAAUUGAUAUGAUCUGCUCAUGUUUUCCUCGAUUUCUCGUGAAUGCCAGCACACUUGUUCUAAACCCAUAGACCAAUGUAACCACAUAUUUUUCAGACGUGCAUUAAUGUCCAGCAUCUCUUUUUCCUCAAUGCUGUCCUCUUGGUCACCCACAGUCGUGCAUUCUUGAUCGCCUUCACGUGAAAAAGUUUGAAGCAAGUGUUCGUAGUAAAUUUGUGGUUGAAAAUUGUGCUCCGGCAUUUUAUGAAAUAAUGCAGUGUGAUUCUGCGGAAGCAUUCGUGAAGGUCCCAAUGAGCACCUUCAUUAAAAAUCAUGUGUGUUUGAUCCCCCAACGCAAAAUCUGAUUCUCGUCUGCUGCAAUAUGCUUGAACACCGUGCUCUAGUAUUAAUUUUCAGAAAGAACCUGUAUAGGACCCAAAGAGCAAUGCUUUUUCCCAUGGAAUCAUGCGUUAGAUGUCCCAAUUUCUAUUUUCCUUGUUGCGUGAUUUCCACAGCAUGUUCAAUAGUCAAUUUCCACGCUGCACUGCCCCAUUCACAAGAAAAUUAACCAGCUGAAAUUAUAAUUCCAAUGCAACAUGCGUGCGUCAAAAUAAUAGAGCUCGACUAUGCUGGUAGGGUACACAGGUCUUUUUUGACAUUUGUUCCUCCCGAUUCUUGAACCUCAAUGCUUUCCUCUUGUUCAGCCACGCAUGGCCAGCCAACUAUUGCAUAAUCUGACUUUUGACAAGGCGUAAAUUCAACCAGGCGUGUACCUUCAUUUCACGUGCUCCAGCCUUAGAUUUGUAUUCUAAUAGUUUUUUUUUUAGUUUUUUGUUUCUUUUUUAUACUGAUCUAUGGGUAGAUUUUUCAAAGACAAAAGUUUAUUUUGCCUGGUAAACUAAUUAACUGAAAAAGAAACAUAAUCAUUAGUGGGGAUCUUUGUUUUAAAAUAUUUUUGAUUGUUAUUAGGAUUAUAGUCAACGUUAGGGAGUUGAGAAGGAACAAACAUAAAUGGAACUUCAUGUGGUGUAGAAUUAACUAUACUUGGCAUUAGGUAUGCCAUAUUCUUUAUAAAAUUCACCGUCUGUCACACCGUUUCAUCACUUCUUGGGUAACAUUGCUUCCACUAGAUUGGGACACGAAUGGUUUGGCAGUGUUAGUGCCCUGGAAGGCAUGUGUUUGAUAUUUGGGCAUUUCGUUGAUAUUGUUGGAAGAGGAUUGCUAUUAAUAUUUGGAGGGAGGCUUUUAGGCUAAGGGAAUUUUGGAAGAGUAGAAAGAUUUUGGAGAAGAGAAACUUUUAUNNNNNNNNNNNNNNNNNNNNNNNNNNNNNNNNNNNNNNNNNNNNNNNNNNNNNNNNNNNNNNNNNNNNNNNNNNNNNNNNNNNNNNNNNNNNNNNNNNNNNNNNNNNNNNNNNNNNNNNNNNNNNNNNNNNNNNNNNNNNNNNNNNNNNNNNNNNNNNNNNNNNNNNNNNNNNNNNNNNNNNNNNNNNNNNNNNNNNNNNNNNNNNNNNNNNNNNNNNNNNNNNNNNNNNNNNNNNNNNNNNNNNNNNNNNNNNNNNNNNNNNNNNNNNNNNNNNNNNNNNNNNNNNNNNNNNNNNNNNNNNNNNNNNNNNNNNNNNNNNNNNNNNNNNNNNNNNNNNNNNNNNNNNNNNNNNNNNNNNNNNNNNNNNNNNNNNNNNNNNNNNNNNNNNNNNNNNNNNNNNNNNNNNNNCUUUCUAGCUAUGUACAUGUGCUAGAAUUCUAUGGAGAAUUCUAGAGAGUCUAGAGAGUUCUAUUACUUUCUAGCUAGGUACAUGUGCUAGAAUUCUAUUGAGAAUUCUAGAGUAUUUCCAAGCUCAAAUGGACUAGAGUUCUCUAGAACGUUCAGGAAUCUAGAGUUGCCUAGAAUGUUCUGGAAUUGGGCUAUUUAUUUUUCAUAAUUUCUUAAGCCCAAAUAAUUAUAACAAAAUCAAGUUUAUUUUAUUUUCAACAGAUAUAUGACCUAACUUCCCUCAAGCUCUGAAGAAAAAGAUCUCACCCUCGUACCCUCGUACUGAACAUUUUGCUUAUGACUUCCAAUGCGAAAAAAAGGAAUAACUAGUUCCUCAAAUCCCAAAUGAAUUUACUAGAGUUACAAAUGAUAACAACUAAUAUAUUCUAAAUCAAUCGUCCAUCGUAAUCAUUAAUCGAUGCCAAAAACAAUCCAGGACAUUUGAUUUGGUAUCUGAGAGAGGAAUGAGAGUGAGAUCGCCGUUAGGAGAUGAGAGAGAGGAAUAACCACUAUGGAGUAUAUUUUUUCCCAACUACACGCUUAGACAACCUUAUUAUUAAAUUUAUCAGUAAAAUAGUAGCUUAUAUAGUAAUUAAGUUGUAAUAGCAUCAUGAACAAUUUCGGAUUUGAUGAGUAUAAGAGCCCGUUUGGAUAUAAGAAAUUUUUUCUUUUUUACAAUAUAGUGUUUGGUUAUCAUAAUAUUAUAAGUUUUCAACCUGACUUGAAAAUGUAUUUUUAAAUAUGAAAAACUGGUGAGAACCAGUUUUUCAAUUAAAAAUUGGAAGGUUGCUAUUUUUAGUUUUACUAAUUUACCCAAUAUUUAUAAAAUUUAUUAAAAAAUCCAUCCGUUAUUAACUUGGAUAACCAUCAACUAUCCAUUUUCCCUUUCAUAAAGUCAGAAACACAAAACACAAGCAUCAGGUCUUCUUCUCAUCAAAGCGUGUUGCUGCCUUUCCAAUUAGUCCUAGUUAAUUUUAACUCUGCCUACUGGAAUUUUGAUUAUAUGAAUAUGAGAAAUAUGUGGCUAUGUCGUUUUUUGCACCUUCUCCCUGUGUUUGUAAAAUUAGAGCAUGUAAUUAAUUUUGCAUCUUCCGUGUGUUGCAGUAAAGAAUAAUAUUGCAACAGUUAAAUAGUAGCAUGUUUGAUUCUUUUUCUAAAGUAGGAUAAUCAAAUUGGGUGAUUUUGAUUUUUUCAUAAAUAGUGGGCAUAAAUCAUAUUUCAUAAUUUUUAAAAAAAUAUCUAUAUAUGUUGCAAAAUUUUUAACUAAAUGCAGCUUCAGCUUUAAUUCAAACUUUAAUUAAAUGUCAAAUUUGAAAUAAAAUAAAAUAAUUGAAAUUCAUGUCCAAAAACCUACUAAGAAAGAAAAUUCUCAAGGAUCAUAUCUAAAAGAAAAGUAACAAAAAUUAAAUCAUAUAAUAAGGAUCAAAUUUAUCCACUAAAUAUAAAAAAUGGCUUGAUGUUACACAAAAUAUUUAAAAGGGAGGUUUACGCAAUAUUUAAAACUUUAGAGAGAUACGUAUUAUAAAUCAAAACUUCAAGCGAGAUAUGUGGGCAAGUACCCUUAUUUAAAUACUAACUUUUUAAAGCUCUUUUAGUUAUUUCAUUCAUUAUGAAUACAAGGUAUAUCGGUGUCCCAAUAUGAUGUUAAACAUAUUUAUCUUGAUCGAGUUGAUUGAAGACAAGUCAAAAAAUGCAGGGAUUGACAUCCCCAGACCAUUAAAUUUCUAGAGAAGAGGAGUCCAGUCACUAACUCAGCAUCAUCAACUAGGGGAUGAUUAGAGGCUGACCUACGUUGCCACCUGGGGGUUCACGGGACGCUGUUAGUCUCAAAAAAAUUAUGUGAUAUAUAUAUAUAUAUACCCUUAAAAUAGUAAUUUCAGUUAGCUUUGACUUUGUUGUUUUAAAAAUACGUGAUCUAUUUUUAUGCUAGUUGUUUAGGCAAUAGAUACUAAGUAGAAGAUUGAAAAAUAAGAUAAGUUCUUGAAGGUAAUGUAAUAGUCAAACCAAAUGGUCAGAGGUCAAGGCCUCGGCCUGGCGUACACGGGGCCUCGAGGUUGAGCCGGAUGCCCAGCUUAGGGUAAUCGAGGAAGGAUUAACAGUUAUGAGAGCUACGAUUGCGGCUCCUUAUGAUCAAUAAUGAUCUACAAAUGGAGAAAAAUAAGUACAACACAAUAGAUAUAAGCAAUAAAUAUAGGUAAUAAGAACAAGAGAAUAUUUAAGUUAGUAAGCAGAUAGAAAGUUCUUGUUUAUUCAAUAUAGAGUAUCAUGUACCUACAAACUGGCAAGGAUUCUCUUCAUAUAUGAGGGGGAAUCCCAACAUAGUUCAAGUGUAUUUAUUACAAAGAUAUUGGGCUGGUUCAUCCAUUUAAUGCUAUGACACAGGUUUGGACUAGCCUACUAGACUGUGUCGGCUCUAGUUACGUACUUUGGAAACUUCCCAUUUUUUUACCACGGCUAUCGAUCGGCAAUGCCCGGAGGUUGGACAUCGAUAACCCCUCGGAAAUGAAUCUCGAGCAUAGCCUCGAACCUCCAGAAACGUGCAUAUGAGGCAUCGUAAUAACUAAACAUUGGACUCUCCGAUUUUAUCGUAUGUAAAUUGUCCCCGCAUUUCUUAGAUAAAAAUUGAUAAGAAAUGGCUCUAACACCGAUCUCCUCAAUCCUCCUGUAAUGAUGUUAUGCAUAUGAUUUCAACUUUUGCGAUAACUGAAAAGUCCCAUCGAGGCGUCUUCCGUAGGAACAUUCAUUACACUGUUAGUUUACUUUUUCAAAGUAACAAUGCUGCCACCAAUCCAUCUCCCAAAACAAUUGAGUGUGCCUAUCAAUAUGUUUUCCAAAGUGUAUUGAUUACGCCUAUCGGUUGCGGUAUCCUCCCUCUAUAAAUGGAAGCUUUCUUGAACCAAAACAUCGCUCAGUCAUUCUUCACCAUUUUUCAACUCAUUUUUCCGUCCUCAUCAAAUUUUAUUUCUCAUGUUUAAUGCCUAUGGCUACAAAUUCACACGACAGCACUCUCGCCGGUUAGGCCAUGGCUCUUUCUUAAAACGCUCUUCCUCCAAGCGAUAUUGCACCGGUUUGUUAUUGUUGUUGUUGUUAUUGGAUCGAAGCGAUGAGAUAGGAGCACCAAUUUCUUCCUACCUAGGAAAGUAUUCGAACUAUACACCACUGCUCAGGAUGACGUCUGAACUUUACAGCUCUACUCACCUUCUUUCUUCAGACUGGUGUGGCUCUUUAUCCCUUUAGCUUUCCGCGGGGUGAAGCAGCACUAUCGGCUACUAACUUGCAUGACCCAAUGUACCUAAAAGUGGACUCAAAGUAGUAGUGCAGGUAAGGCCUACGCUCUCUAAAUCUUCUAUCAGAAUAUACUUUCUUGCAUGAUAAAAGCUUUUGCUCUUUAGCAGGCUACGACUUUUUCAUCAUCUUUUUCUGCUUCUUCUACAUGGUUCUCCGCUCCAUCCUCGUCCUAUAAGAUGCCAUUGGGGGGUGGAAGGGCGAGAUGAGGCUUCCACAGAAAUGAUUAUCGAAGGCAUUGCUCCCGAAGAUGUUCCUUGAGAGCAGGUUAGACAUUAGUUGUUACUUUUGCUUUGUUGUUUUUGUGUAAGGACCCUUCGUGGGUUUUUGUAAUCAUGUGUAAGCUCCCUUUGUGGGCUUUUUGUAAUCAUCGUUUAUUAAUGCAAAGAAGUUUAUUCAAUUUGUCUCUUAUUUAUACUGGAUUUUCCCUUUGUUUGCGUUAGUAAAGAAUUCGUAUGCAUGACUCUACCAAUUAAUCCGAAUAUCGAGCCCGAAUUGACUUUAUAUGACUUGGAUUAUUCGGACUGAGGACUUCGAGUUGAGUGAGAGGCCUUUAUUUUAAAAACUUGGGCAUUUUAGACCCAAUUGAUGAUCCUUGAGGGAUAAUUCAUUUGGGCUUCUAAGAAUAAAAUUAGCCUCUAGGCUUCUGCGAGUAGUCCCUAGGUGAGAGAUCGUUCGAGAAUGGGUGAUAUGAAAACAUGCUUUGAACAUAGAGCGAAGGUAGCCUCAAGGCGUUAUAGAUAGACCCCAGACAAUGGUAUGCCUGGACUCGAAUAGCCCCUGUUUAAAGCAAUCGAGAAAACAUUUAACUUGAUCUGAAAGAGAAAAAUAGUCGUAAGGUUUAAUUAGUAGUCUUUGAGUGGAAGUUAGCUCGGGGUUAGGUAGCUCGAGGGCCGGAGGAUCGAGUAGAUGACCCAUACUCAUGAUAGCAGAAAUCCUCGAGGUAGGGUAUCACUUCGAGUUCAAGCCUGUGUGAGUAGGCUUUUAGAGCUUGUCUCCUAUUUGACAGAGGUCAUCGAGAUUGGAUACCAUCUCAAGGCUUUUAAUGAUACCAAUGUUUCCUUAGAGCCUAUCUUCUUCCCGAUAGAGAUCCUCAAGAUCGGGUACCCUCUCGAGGCUUGUAAUGAUAUCAAUGGCUCCUUAGAGCCUAUCUUCUUCUUGACAGAGGUCCUCGAGAUUGGGUACCAUCUUGAGGCUCGUAAUGAUAUCAAUGGCUCCUUAAUGCUAUCUUCUUCUUGACAGAGGUCCAAAAGAUUGGGUACCAUCUCGACGCUAGUAAUGAUAUUAAUGGCUCAGUAGAGUCUAUUUUCUUUUCAACACAGAUCCUCGAGAUCAGGUACCAGCUCGAGGCUUGUAAUGAUAUCAAGGGCUCCUUCGAGCCUAUCUUCUUCUUGAUAGAGUUCCUCGAGAUUGGGUACUAUCAUAAGGCUCGUAAUGAUAUCAAUGGCUCCUUAGUGCCUAUCUUCUUUUUGAAAGAGAUCCUUUAGAUCGGGUACCAUCUCGAGGCUUUGUUGAUGAGGGAGUUUUUGAUACCCAAAAUGUCAUACAGUGGCACUGAUUGCACGACAUGGUUAUGAAAAUACCGAGGCAGUCGCAUCUCCAAAGUGAUAAUGACUUAGUCAGUAUUUCUUGUUGACCUUUGAGGCAGGCAAAUGGUCACCACUAUCUCUACAUAAAUAUAUAUAGGUUUUUGUUCCUUCCCUUGAGGAUUUUUGCUAUUCUGAGUAGCUAUCCUCCUUCCCAAAGUUCAUCUUUCCCGUGUUAGGUCAUUCACCAUUUUAAGUUUGAAGCCCGCGCUAAAAUACCCGCUCCGAUUAUCUGAUUUUACCGUAGUUAUGGACGAUAAGCCAGGACUCAUUUGGCAAGGAGGAGGAAAUACUGCCUCUAGUUUUUUCCUGGUUUGUGGAGUGCCGCUGUUGCCAAGGGAGAAAACCUCGGGACAUUUUACUUCGUGGGGGGACUUUUUACAGAAAAGCUUCCCCAUAUUCAAGGUCAUAAGAAAUAUACCUCGAAGUCCAUUUCUUUAAUAGGAGAUGGGCACCUUGAGUUAGUAAGGAAAGAUUUUGAAUGGGGGGUAAAGGUAGUACUGUGGGUACCUUCCCCUGAAGAUAGUACCAUGGAUCAUGCCGAGCGGUUUCUGAAUGUUUAUACGUGCCCCUUUACACUGGGCCCUGUUGAUGGGGUCGUGAUUGAUUUCUAUCGAAUGUACCAGGUUACCUUGGCAUAGGUUCACCUAUGCCAUGAAACAGGACUUGAGUUCACUCUUAGCCAUCUAAUCAUGUUGUAUUGGCCUUUUCACUAUCAAGGUAUGUUGACCCUACAAUGCCGAUGCCCACGCCUUUCAUUGUUGAUAAUGAAGAAGAUGGGGAUUGGGAUGGGUGAGACAAUUCAUCUGAGCAUGGACUGUUGAUAUUAUCAUGGCUAAAUUUCUGCCAUUCCCCGACGAAUGGAGUUUUGCACAUAAGUGGUACACUUGUGCCUUUGUUGUUUCACUUGUUUUUCAUAUGGUGGAGGCGGGCUCCAUAAAUGCAUUUUUCCUUCCCCUUUUGCAGCAAUUUCUUGGAUGCCAUACGAGGUCCCCGACAUGACGGAUUGCGCUCGAAAAUUGGGGAUCCAUUCGAUUAUGAUGGUCGUAAGUGACGAGAUAUGUUCAAGAGCAGAUGGGAUGAAAGACACCAUGGUACGUGCUAUGCGAUUAUGAUCUUUUUUAGAAUGCACUCUCCUUUUAAGCACGUUGAUUCUAUCUUUGUAGGCAUUGGGGGGUUCUCUGAAGUGAGAUUGUGCCAUCCGAAGAGCGAGGAGAAUCAUCAACUUUAGGGACGAAUAACAAUAACAAGUAAAGAAAGGACUCGCUGGGCGACGAUGCUUAUAAUAGGAUGAGUCCAGCCCAGAGGCUAAGAGAGGAGGCAGUAGCCGACCCUGCAACGUCCGAGAUCUCUAGUCUUGGAAAAAUUGCCCCUCCUCUACUUCCAUAUUUUUUUCCCGUCGGAGGUACCUCGAGAAGUGAGGGUUCUCUUUUGCCAACUAAUUCUCCCGUGGAAGGUACUUCGCGGGAUUCUCGAGGUCAGGAGCUGUAUAUAUCGAGAAACAGCAUCCCAAUCAGUAGAGGUUUUACAGUGUUUGAUAGAAGCAGGCUAGUAGAUGUACGCUCGACUUCUGAAGAAGAUCAGUGGUUAUACUCUGUGGUAAGUUUUGCCCAGUCGUAUCGGCUCUUUAGCUUUUUCAUCUUUUUCUCUCUUAUCGAGUUUCUUAUUUGUAGACUUUUGACAGGUCAAGUUUGAGCUAUUUCGUCAGGAGGCCAUGCUGCAUAAAGCGGUUGAUGGAGAAAAGUCCCUCGGGGUUCUUUGUGAUGAGAGGGAAGACGAGUUGGCAUACUUGUGAUAUGAGGCGAGUCAAAGCCUGAGCUAUAAAAGCUACCUCGAGGAACAAGUAAUUUUAAUUCUAGAGGGGCGUAUGUUCUCUUUUUUAUCCCUGAUGCUGAUGCCUUGUUAUUUUAGUUGCAGAAGAAGAUGGAGGACUUGGAAUGCCAUAGGAGUGAAUGUUGUCCAAGCCAAGCGCUAGCGUCAUGAGUUGAAGGCUUAGGCGGACGUUCAGGCUACAGUGGAGAAAGGUCCUUUGUCUAAGGCUAUCCCCUUUCAGAUCGAACUCCACUUAGUUCGUGAGAAUAGCUUAAUCCAAACGAAUAUGAUUACAAAGCUUGAGUGUGAGCUUUUAAGUGUGAAAGGAAAAGUUGUUGAUGCCCAGGCUAAAGUCGUAAUGACCAAACUAAGGCUGACAAGAAAGUGGUGAUUUAUUUGAAGGACGUUUUCGAUGCUCGAGGCCAAGUUGAGAAGGGCUCUUGACCGUGAGAGCAAGAGCAAGGAAUAUGCUCGGCACAAACCUCGAAGGGAAACCCUCGAAAAGGUCCAUGCUAAGGGUUUUGACCUCUCGGAAGAGGUGAAGCAAGCUAAGGCAGACGAACAUGAUGUUAAGUCCCUUCUUUCCGAUGUCGAGGAUAGCGAGGAAGGGGCUGACGGACCAUAGUCCCCCUAGAUUGGAUUUCCUUUUCUGACUUUGUAUAUAGUGCCUUUAAAGAAUGUUGUAAAUGGAGCUUGUUUUUUUCUCAUAUAUAUAUAUAUAUAUAUAUGUAUGUAUGUAUGUAUGUAUAUAUAUAUAUGUAUGUAUGUAUGUGUAUAUAUAUGUAUGUAUGUAUAUAUAUAUAUAUAUAUGUAUGUAUGUAUAUACACAAAAAACCUUGUGGCUUCAUUUUUCACGUACUUCCUUCUGUUUUGAUGUUUAUUAGCCAUUAUCCAAACGACCUGGUCUUUGAGUUAAUAUAAACAUUACGUUUGUAGUACAACCCUGGGACUCGUUCGGCUGGGUCGGUACGACCUCUUGUAUGGGUUGGUGACAGUGGCUCUUAGGCAUUAGUUGGUACGGCCUCUUAUUAAGGCUGGAGAUAAUGACUAUUACACAUUGGGUUGGUAGUAUAUGAGUUGGUGGAAUGGCUCUUACGCCUUAGGUCGGUACGACCUUUUACAAAGACAUGAGAUAGUGGCUCUUACGCAUUAGGGUUGGUGUGACCUCUAAGAUAAGAUUUCUUUUUCCCUUGUUAUGGACGUUUUAUUAUUGUCUUUUGCCUGAUUCUUCGAGGUUUAAUAGAACACUGAUUACGAGGUGUUAUGUGGUGAUGACCGAGCAACUCGGGAGAUUUUGCUCGAUGGCUGAGUGUUUUGAAGCUUAUGGUUUUGGAGCUGACAUGAUCGAUGCUCUUUCGCCUAUUUCUAGGGUAGCCUGUUUUAACCAGUUCUUUUCAAAGUAAUUGAAGUCCUACGAUUUUGAAGCGAUGUUCGACCGUCCGUGAGUCGCAUAAGUUUUGCUCGUACAGCCUUGUGACCAUAGUCAUUGUGUUUGGCUGGAGCCUUUUAGUUCUCGAGUGAGUUAGUUUCGACAUCUAUAUCGAGGGUAUGCCUUUUUAGGGGUCUUAUAUGUUCAAUAUAUAGCCUUAACAUUAAUAUCAAAAGUAUGCCUUUUGUAAGGUCUUAUAAAUUUUUAAAUGCCUUUGAGGUCAUACAGUAUUGGUUACUUGGUACAAUUAUGUUUCAUGCCUUUACUGAGGUCUUAUAGAUUUGGUUACUUUGUAUAGGUAUAGUUCAUGCCUUGUUUGAGGUCUUACAGAUUUGGUUACUCUGUACAAGAUAGUUUAGUCCUUGCUUAAGAUCUUUUAGAUUUUUGUUACUUGGUACAAGUAUAGUUCAUGCAUUACUUAAGGUCUUAUGGAUUUGGUUACUUGGUACAAGUAUAUGUCAUACGUUUCUUGAGGUCUUACAGAUUUGAUAUCGCCUUAUGAAGGUCUUGCGCGCUCGAGGCUGACCGCAUAGGUCCUUAUAGACUCAGGUUUUUGACAGAUCGAUAGGUGUGGCAAUUGGCGGUAGUCCCCGAGUCAUUGAAAGUUUCUUGUAUCGGGAUCCAUUCCUUGUAAACUUGGUAUUGCCUCAUUGAGGGCAUAUGAGUUUAGAGUCUCCGACCUGGAGGUCAUGUGGCCUUGCGUUUUCAACGCUAGUCCCCGGGUAUCUGGGACAUUUUUUGAAUCUGGAGCCAUUUUUGCAAUCUUAAUGCUGCCUCAUUGAGGGCUUAGCUUUUAGUUUUAAUGCCAGUCCCCAAGUGUUCGGGACGAGUUUUGGCUCGGGAGUCAUUUUUGUAAAAAAUACCGAGCUUCUUUGAACACGAAAUACGUUAAUGGAGGGGAAAGUAUUCUUUGAUUGAUUGGUACAAGUAUUCAUGUUUUUGUUGUCAGGGGCUCGAUUAUUCUAUAUGGACACAGUUCGUUCGACCGUUUGGUCUGGUACAUCAUUUUCCUAUCGAGACCCCAUUCAUUACAUCUUGGCUUCUCCAAGGAGGUGAUCUUCUAGGGUAGAUGGCCUUUAUUUUUUGAUGUUGAUUGAAGAGAAGCCUUGAAUACUUGUUGAACCUUCCUUAGGUAGAUAAUAGAUGUUGACUCAUUAAAAACUGUGCUGGCAAAACCCUCCUUGGGAUAAAAACCCGAUUGAAGGAAAAUAGUCCAAUGUACACUUUUGGAACCUAAGGCCUUCAAUUUAGAAAUUUUUUUGGCCGUUUCUAUCGAAUACCUACACUCAGGUUAGUAUAAAAUGUAGCUGAGAAAGUGAGAUGACCGUACCUCAAUGCUGACAACACUUCGGACUUUGAGAUGAUUCGAUCUUUCAUUACAGAAUAUGGUAUGGUCCUGUGCUUGUUUUGUCGGGUGUAGCUGAGGGUGCAACUUAUUAUCGCUAUUUUAAUGUUUGUUUAUCCUUCGGCUCAUGUUAUGGUUGAGGUAUUGGCGGUGGUGCCACAUCGUGUACCGUGAACAUCUCUUUUGCUACAUAUUGUUCCCCUUAGACGAUUUUUAUCCUACCCUUUGUUGGAAAUUUCAUCAUUUGAUGGAUGGUGAAUUGUGCUACUCUCAUACACUGUGUCCAUGGCCUCCCAAACAAGGCAUUGUACCUUAUGUCUCCUUCGAUAUAAGGAAUUUGGCAUUUUAGGUUGUACCGGCCGUGUUGCCUAUGAGGGUGAUUUCCCCUUUCGUUGCUUCACUCGCCAUGUUGAACUCAUUGAGGACUCGAGAGGCGAUAACGAUUUGGUCAAGUAGUUUGAGCUACUCUACCACCCUCGACCUAAUAAUAUUGGCUGAGCUACCUGGAUCCACUAGUACACAUUAAAUUUGAAAUGUAUUAACAAGGAAAGAGAUUACCAAUGCGUCAUUGUGAGGGUGAGAAAGGGUCUCGAUGUCUUCGUCCCUGAAUGUAAUUGCAUCCUUAUGUACGUAGCCUCGAGUACACUUUUCACCAGUGAUGGAUAUUUUUUUUCUUCUGAUCAUGGGUUCUUAUGGAGCGUCGACGCCUUCCAAGAUCAUGUGGAUGAUAUGUCGUGUCUCAUUUGUUUCAUUUUUCUUGGUCGCCUCUCUUUCCGGAACUAGUUUUUGGCUCGAUCGGUGAGAAAUUCUUGGAGAUGACCUUUGCUGAGUAGUCAAGCUACUUCUUCGCAAAUUUUUUGACAAUCUUCGGUCUUGUGGGCGUGUGUUUUUGUGAAAUUUUACACACUAAGUUAUGGUUCCUUUGUGAAGGAUCCGAUUGUACAGGCCUCGGCCACCUGGUGUCUCUGAUUUUAUUGAUGGAGGAUGUGAUGUUUGAAAUAUCGAGAUUGAAGUUGUAUCCUGAUAAGUGGGGUGCCUCCAUCGGCCCCGUGUGCCUAUCGAAGCCGGCUCUAUUAACGAGUCCCCGAGGAUUCUGGCCUCGAUCGACCCUUCGGUCUUUGAAGAUAUGUUGUGCCUUAGGGCAUUUCUUCUAUCUUCAGUAUAUAGUUGGUAUCUUUCUUUGUUUGGCUUUGACUCCUUUGCCAAAAGCCUACUAGGAUAUACAGAGCCCGAGGGGGCUCCUAGUUGGUCGUCUUCGACACUGUCUUUCAUUGGUAUCGGUUGUGGACAUCCGACCAGGUCACGGCGGGAUAUUCAACUAAGUUCUGCUUCGAAGCUACCGAGAUUUGAUUAUUGAAACCUUGAGUGAAGGCUUGAACCACCUAGUCGUUAGAGAAUGGUGGUAGUUCCAUUCGUUCCAUCUAAAAGCGAGAUACGAACUUUCGCAGCAUCUCGUUCUUUCUUUGCUUGAUUUUGAAGACAUCGGAUUUCCUUGUAGCUACCUUGAUGGAACCAGCAUGUUCCUUUAUGAAAGAAUCUAGUAGAAUGGAAAAUGAAUCUAUGCAGUAAGAAGUUAGGUUGUGAUACCACAUCAUUGCCCCUUUAGAGAGUGUUUCUCCGCACUUCUUCAGCAGGACAGAUUCAAUCUCGUCGUCCCUCAGGUCGUUGCCUUUCACUGCACAAGUGUAAGCAGCGACGUGCUUGUUGGGGUCUGAAGUUCCGUUGCACACCGGAAGGUCGAGCAUUCUGAACGUCUUUGCAAUGGGUUUCGGAGUCGCUUUCUGCGGGAAUAGCUUUUGUAUGAACUUCUUUGAAUCUACACCUUCCAGGAUUGGGGGUUUCCUCGGAAUUUGAUUCACCCUUGAGUUGUAGGUCUUUACCUUUUUGUCAUUCGCUUUUAUAUUCUUCUUGCCCGACUCGAUCCUCUUUGUAAGAUCCUCGAGCAUCAUUAUGAUGGCGGGAUCGGUUGCUGACCCGUUGUUGCUUGAUCUUUCUGGUACCUGUUCGGCUCGAGAAGCCAUUUCUGGUGCUACCGUACAAGGAGAUUUCUGGUGACUUUGCAUCUAAGGAAUCGCUAGCUGUUGUUCCUGUAACAUUUCAAAAAAAAUUGUGAAGGCUAACUUCCUUUUCGUCUCGAGCUAGGGUGUUCUAAUCUUCUUGUUGAUCUCCUUGGUGUAAGCUCAUAUUGGUGUGAGACCUUAUUUCGACGUGUUGAGCGUCACGCGAGACUACGUCCACAGGAAUUGGUUCUGGUGUAUUCUCAAGGUUUUGUAGUGGUACAUCAACACUUGGAACAUUCACAUCGUUCUCUCCAUGGUCCUCAAAAUUGUUAUUUUCACGUGUGUUUACUAAGUUAGACAUUUUGACCUGAAAUCAAAUGAACUUGAACAAGAAAAAGUGUGAAAGGUACUUGUGUUAUGGAGUGAACCAACAAGAAAAUAAUCACUAUUUUUUAUAGCCCCACGGUGGGCACCAAACUGUUUACCUUGAGACCAUUAUAAUUAGAUUUGAUAUUGUGGUUCUAAACUUAUGUUUAUUUGUUUAGGCAACAGAUGCUAAGUGAAAGACUGGAAAAUAAGAUAAGAGCUUGAUGGUAUUGUAAUAAUCAAACCGAAUGGUUAGAGUCGGGGCCUUAAUCUGGCGUAUAUAAGGCCUCGAGGUUGAGCCGGAUGCCGGCUUAUGAUAAUCUAGGAAGGGUUAACAGUUAUGAUAGCUACGGUUGCGGCACUUUAUGAUCAAUAAUGAGCGAUAAAUGAAGAACAAUAACUAGAACACAAUAGAUAUAAGCGAUAAAUGUAAGUAAUAAGAAUAAGAGAAUAUGUUAAGUUAGAGAGCAUAUAGACUGUUUUUGUUUAUUCAAUGUUGAAUAUUCCAUCCCUAAAAAAAUGGCAAGGAUCCCGUUAAUAUAUCAGGGGGAAUUCCAUCAUAGUACAAGUACAUAUAUUACAAAGAUAUGGGGCUGGUACAACCAUUUAAUGCUAGGAUACUUGUUUGGACUAGCCUACUAGACUCUGUCAGGUCUAGUCACGUGCUUUGGGAACUUCAUACUUUUUUACCAUUUUUAUCACAUCAAUCGGCACUGUUCCGAGGCUGGACGUCGAUAAACCUCGGACGUGAAUCUCGAACAUAGCCUCGAACCCCCCGGAAACGUGCAUAUGAGGCGUCGUAAUGAUUGAAAACUGGACCUUCCGAUUUUACCAUAUAUAUAUAUAUAUAUAGUUGGGACCCCUUAAUAAUUUACUUAUGCCCCCGAACACAAAAGCUUGACUGGAGAAGCGGUUGAGUGGAGAGCUUAAGUUUCUUUCCUUUCGGUGGUUGAUGUGGGUUCAAAUCUAUUGUUUAGCUUUUUCUCCUUAUUUCUAUUUGACGUAUUUAAAUUCAACAUAAUUGAAAUUUAAUAGCAAACUUGUUUAGUUAUUUUUUUUUUAUCAUUUUCCUAAAUUCAAUUUUAAUUUAGUACCACUACACAAUGGUUAACUUAAUUAAUUUUAUCUCUUUUUUAAUUCUCAUCUUUGAAAUCAAAAACUUCAAAUUUUAACUUAUUGCUCCAUAAUAAAAGAAAUAUAAGUUCUUCCUGUCACCAUCUUCUUCAACAAUAAUUUUGAUUAAGUAAUGGUCAUCGUCAAUUCUGACUCCACUAUGGCAACAGAGAGUUUGAGACUCUUCAUCACUUCUUUGACUCCUAAAAUACAUUUUAUCUUAUUUUUAUGUGUAAGUUUUUUAUAAUUGUAAAGUUUGAACCCCUUUUAUUUACUCAGUCCUUUUUCAUUAGAGAAAAAACUAUAAAUUUUAAAGUUUGAAAUUGGCUUAAAUCAAACACUUUUCCUUCCCGUUUGCGAAAAAAUCUUUCUAUCUGUUCGGUAUUUUUUUUCUUUAAAACAUUUUUAAUACUUAGAUUCUUAGUUAACAAUCAUAAUUACGGUUUUAAAGAGUUUGCACGUCGAAAGAAAGAAAGUGUCCUAUGCCACAACUCAAUUCCAUUUCCAUCAAAAAAUUGUUGACUUUCCUCCCUUUUUUCUCAUUUUUAUUCCAAUGCAGAACAACACAUAUAGUAUAAUUUAUGAUCAAUUUUAUUUGACUCUUUUUGUUUUUGAACUGAAAAAUAAAAGUUUUCGUUUGUUCAUGUAAGUUUGAUCAAUCAAUUUUUAUGUUCUAAACAAAAUAGUAACUUUACGCGUAUGACUUUACAGCGUAAAUGUGAAGUUAAUUGAACUAGGUGGCAGAACAUUACAUUGAAUUUCGAAAGUUAGAGCAGUGUAGACGUUUAGAUCUUCAAUUAUUCUUCUUUAUAUGAGGUUAAUAACAUUUACAGUUGAAGCAUGUAGACAUGGAUUAUAUUGCAUUUAAAAGGUGUCCAUAUAAAACAAGAAUAACAUCUCUUUACUGGUUGACUAAUCAGACAAAGUUAGUUUUGUCUGUUUUUGUUAGUAAAGUAUACUAAUAGAGUAAAUAUUAGUAGUAUUAAUUUCUUUCAUUUCUUCUCACAAAAAUCCAGUCUAAGAUUCACCAAUCACGAGGUCUCCUCUAUAAUGAUUAAAAUAUACAUUCUAACCUCAACAAGGUCAUUUUGAUUCACCAAAACAUCUCAAAUCAAAUAAAAAAUGUUUUCCAGAACCCCAUUUUGCUUCAAAGACAUUUCCUUAAUACUCACCUUUUUCUCAUUCUUUUUUCUUUCUCUAAAUUACCAUCGGUCUACCUCCAUUUUAAAAAAAUUAACCUCAUUCUCUUCAGCCAUCACAGCCGCCACCAACAAAAACUCUCUGACCACCGUUAACAACCUUAUUUUCUCAAUUGCUUCUUCCUCUAAAACCUUUUCCAAACGCAAAGAGCUUCUCCUUCUAUGGUACAAACCUAAUUUUACCAAAGCUUAUGCAUUUUUAGACCACCCUCCAUUGGAUAAUUCUCCUAAAAACAGCGAUCUUCCAUCAAUUCUAAUUUAUGAAAACACUUCUUAUUUCCCAUAUGCCCAUCGUACUGGAGCACGUUAUGCCCUUGGCCUAACGUGCAUGAUUAAACACGUUGUCGCAUGUAACGAUCCUAACGUGCAAUGGUACAUUUUUGGAGAUGAUGAUACAGUGUUUUUCGUCGAUAACUUGUUAAAGACACUAGAAAAUAUGAUCAUAAUGAAUGGUAUUAUAUAGGGUCUAAUUCAGAGAGCUAUGUUCAAAACGCUUAUUUUUCUUUUGAUAUGGCAUUUGGUGGUGGGGGAUAUGCGAUAAGUCGACCUUUGGCUUAGGCUUUAGCUGGGGUUUUGGAUUCUUGUUUGGUGCGUUACCCAAAUCUCUAUGGUUCUGAUCCUAGGUUUUUCUCUUGCCUGGCAGAACAUGGUGUAAGUUUAACACAUGAACCUGGUUUUCACCAAGUAAAAUUUCAAUGUUGUUACUCUCUUGUAGUUACUGUUUUAGUUAUCGAACUUUGGAAUUUUAUGAUACUUCAUUCUUCCUCCCCUUUAAUUUCUCUAGAUACAAGAGGGAAUUAGAGUACAGGAGGAAGCAGGCUGGUAGAUCCCAAUAAUUUUGGUUCUAAUUACGUUAUGUUUAUUCAUUUAAUUUGUAUUAGUUAUUAAAUUAAAACUCGAUAACUCAAAAAACUAAAAUAUAUUAGUUUCAAUUCUUGAUUCUGUCUCAUAAUCCUACUAUGUCAACGUGUUUAAAGUUGAAGAGAUUGUGAUAUUGAAAUUCGGUACCUCUUGUUUCAUUAAGGCUGUAUCCGGUUCCGGUUCUGGGUCUAUUUGGGUCUGCGGUUCCGGUUCUGGCGGUUCCGGUUCUGCAGUUCUGGCGGUUCUGGCGGUUCCGGUUCUGGCAAUUCCGGAGCCGGAACCGCUACCAUACGGUUCCGGAACCGCCCGGUUCCGGUUCUGGAGGUUCCGGAACCGCGGUUCUGGCGGUUCCAGGCGGUUCCCGGCGGUUCCGAGUUAUUUUUUUUNNNNNNNNNNNNNNNNNNNNNNNNNNNNNNNNNNNNNNNNNNNNNNNNNNNNNNNNNNNNNNNNNNNNNNNNNNNNNNNNNNNNNNNNNNNNNNNNNNNNNNNNNNNNNNNNNNNNNNNNNNNNNNNNNNNNNNNNNNNNNNNNNNNNNNNNNNNNNNNNNNUAUUGUUGAAACACGUUCUCAAACUAAACGUGUGUUGAUCUGUGUAGGUUUUGAUAAAUGACAAACCAACGAGCAUGGAACGUUAACAGUCAAGCACAAAAGAAACAAGAAAAAGAUCAAGUAAAACAAUGAAGUUAUACUUGGGUCGUUUUAUAGUGUGAUCUUAAUUCAAAAACAGAUUCAACUAUUGGCUUCUCUCGUAAAAUCAUUUUCAUCAAAACAUGCAUCUUUGAAUUAAAACAAAAUGAUUUUCAUUUUAGCCAAAAUGAUUUUUAAACAUAUCUUUUAAAUCUGGACAUAUAUAAUCGAUUAUAUAUGCUACAUAAUCGAUUAUAUUAAGACCGCCAAAAUUGGAAUUUUCAAAAACAACAGAACAAUCGAUUAUAUACUUGUUUAACAAUCGAUUAUAUUGAGACAGUGCUUAAACUGAAAUUUUCAAACUGCAAAGUAAUCGAUUAUAUGUUUUCCACAAUAGAUUACAUUGAGACAGUGUUUAAAUGAAAUUUUCAAAGAAGCAAAACAAUCGAUUUAUCCUUUUCAACAAUCGAUUAUGUCAGACCGUUGCCAAAGUGCUGUUUUAAUCUUUAAAAAAUAAUCGAUUAUAUACAGCUGAUAAUCGAUUAUGUUAGCACUGAAUCUUAAACUGAUUUUUGAACGUUAACGUACAAUCGAUUAUGUUUCAUAAACAAUCGAUUANNNNNNNNNNNNNNNNNNNNNNNNNNNNNNNNNNNNNNNNNNNNNNNNNNNNNNNNNNNNNNNNNNNNNNNNNNNNNNNNNNNNNNNNNNNNNNNNNNNNNNNNNNNNNNNNNNNNNNNNNNNNNNNNNNNNNNNNNNNNNNNNNNNNNNNNNNNNNNNNNNNNNNNNNNNNNNNNNNNNNNNNNNNNNNNNNNNNNNNNNNNNNNNNNNNNNNNNNNNNNNNNNNNNNNNNNNNNNNNNNNNNNNNNNNNNNNNNNNNNNNNNNNNNNNNNNNNNNNNNNNNNNNNNNNNNNNNNNNNNNNNNNNNNNNNNNNNNNNNNNNNNNNNNNNNNNNNNNNNNNNNNNNNNNNNNNNNNNNNNNNNNNNNNNNNNNNNNNNNNNNNNNNNNNNNNNNNNNNNNNNNNNNNNNNNNNNNNNNNNNNNNNNNNNNNNNNNNNNNNNNNNNNNNNNNNNNNNNNNNNNNNNNNNNNNNNNNNNNNNNNNNNNNNNNNNNNNNNNNNNNNNNNNNNNNNNNNNNNNNNNNNNNNNNNNNNNNNNNNNNNNNNNNNNNNNNNNNNNNNNNNNNNNNNNNNNNNNNNNNNNNNNNNNNNNNNNNNNNNNNNNNNNNNNNNNNNNNNNNNNNNNNNNNNNNNNNNNNNNNNNNNNNNNNNNNNNNNNNNNNNNNNNNNNNNNNNNNNNNNNNNNNNNNNNNNNNNNNNNNNNNNNNNNNNNNNNNNNNNNNNNNNNNNNNNNNNNNNNNNNNNNNNNNNNNNNNNNNNNNNNNNNNNNNNNNNNNNNNNNNNNNNNNNNNNNNNNNNNNNNNNNNNNNNNNNNNNNNNNNNNNNNNNNNNNNNNNNNNNNNNNNNNNNNNNNNNNNNNNNNNNNNNNNNNNNNNNNNNNNNNNNNNNNNNNNNNNNNNNNNNNNNNNNNNNNNNNNNNNNNNNNNNNNNNNNNNNNNNNNNNNNNNNNNNNNNNNNNNNNNNNNNNNNNNNNNNNNNNNNNNNNNNNNNNNNNNNNNNNNNNNNNNNNNNNNNNNNNNNNNNNUUAACAUGCUAGCUCAUAUGAAGGUAUACUGAAAUAGGUGUUUGAUCUAUAAUUGCCUGAAGAGAUCUAUAAAAUUCUAGUAAACAUGUAUAUUAGGCCGAUAAGCCGCCCAAUAACCGCCCUAUAAGAGCUAACCCGAUACCAAUCCGCUGAUAUCUUAUCGGGUGGCUAACGGAUUAAUACAGUUAAAAGCCGAUAACCGUUAAGCCAAACCGUUAAGAGUAAAAGCCGCCCAAUCCGCCCGAUGAACACCCCUAGCAUUAAUUGGGUUUCUAUAUUCGUACGCCACUACUAAACUUUCGUACAUGUAGUUCCACCUAGUCGGGCAAGGUUUAGAUACCUUUCUUUAUCUAAGGCCAUAUUCGUCACAUUUUUUAAAAUAUUCUCUAAGUCUACUUCUACGGUUCGUACAUGUAGUUCCACCUAGUCGGGCAAGGUUUAGAUACCUUUCUUUCUCUAAGGCCAUAUUCGUCACAUUUUUUAAA
rnacentral:lncRNA from 1 species